ACCUUAAAGUACUCUAGCAGCACAUCAUGGUUUGCAUGCUUUAGCAAAAAUGCGAAUCAUUAUUUGCUGCUUUGGAAAUUUAAGGA
rnacentral:pre_miRNA from 1 species